AUUGAACGCUGGCGGCAGGCCUAACACAUGCAAGUCGAACGGUAACAGGAAGAAGCUUGCUUCUUUGCUGACGAGUGGCGGACGGGUGAGUAAUGUCUGGGAAACUGCCUGAUGGAGGGGGAUAACUACUGGAAACGGUAGCUAAUACCGCAUAACGUCGCAAGACCAAAGAGGGGGACCUUCGGGCCUCCUGCCAUCGGAUGUGCCCAGAUGGGAUUAGCUAGUAGGUGGGGUAACGGCUCACCUAGGCGACGAUCCCUAGCUGGUCUGAGAGGAUGACCAGCCACACUGGAACUGAGACACGGUCCAGACUCCUACGGGAGGCAGCAGUGGGGAAUAUUGCACAAUGGGCGCAAGCCUGAUGCAGCCAUGCCGCGUGUAUGAAGAAGGCCUUCGGGUUGUAAAGUACUUUCAGCGGGGAGGAAGGGAGUAAAGUUAAUACCUUUACUCAUUGACGUUACCCGCAGAAGAAGCACCGGCUAACUCCGUG
rnacentral:rRNA from 1 species